UUCUUUCGCACCGCGCCUCCCCUAAAGUGCUCUGGCGCCCUCUAGGGGAGGCGCGCCUCACACUUUGAAAACCGCCGGUCUACACUAUUAUUACUGUUUUGUUUU